rnacentral:pre_miRNA from 7 species
GUCUCGGUCUCUUGGGUGGUCGCGCCUAUCCCGGACGAGCCCCCAAAUGAAAGACCCCCGAAGGGAGACCCUCACUCAAGCCUCGGGAUAUGGCGCGGACCCAAAUGAGACACAGAGACCG